AGCGAACGCUGGCGGCAGGCCUAACACAUGCAAGUCGAACGAAGUCUUCGGACUCAGUGGCGGGCGGGUGAGUAACACGUGGGAACGUGCCUUUAGGUUCGGAAUAACUCAGGGAAACUUGUGCUAAUACCGAAUGUGCCCUUCGGGGGAAGGAUUUAUCGCCUUUAGAGCGGCCCGCGUCUGAUUAGCUAGUUGGUGAGGUAAAGGCUCACCAAGGCUACGAUCAGUAGCUGGUCUGAGAGGAUGACCAGCCACAUUGGGACUGAGACACGGCCCAAACUCCUACGGGAGGCAGCAGUGGGGAAUUUUGCGCAAUGGGCGAAAGCCUGACGCAGCCAUGCCGCGUGGAUGAUGAAGGUCUUAGGAUUGUAAAAUCCUUUCACCGGUGAAGAUAAUGACUGUAGCCGGAGAAGAAGCCCCGGCUAACUUCGUGCCAGCCGCCGCAGUAACAC
rnacentral:rRNA from 1 species